UAUGUUGGGGUUUUAUUAUGUAGUUUGUAUGCUUAAUUAAUUUAAUUUUCUUUGAGUAGUGGGUGGGAGAUUACAAUGUGUUUGCGAGACCUGUAUUUUGCCGGGAAGAGAAGGCUUUGCAUAUGAAGUUAAUGAACGUGAUAAACUCAACUCGGUUUUUGAUGAAGACUUCGCGACUACCAUAGUUCAGUCCAGUCAGCUAAUUAUACCCGGGCCUCGCUAUAUGGUCGAGGCACUACCCAAUUACUCCAUAAACUAUAGGCAUACGGUAAUCAGAGAUGCCAUGAGUCCUCCCCCUCCCACUACAUUUCCCGCUAUAAUAAUUAAAAUUCAACACGAAGCCCGUCGCUCAUAGUAUUGAACGACCGGUUUGGCAGUUUGGCAUAUUCGUCGUUCUUGCAUAGUCGUUAGAAUGUGGAGUAUCUUAAUUCGACGCAGACACGGUCAUAGGAAGACGAGACAAAGGCAAGACAACGCAGAUAGUUUUUUUUUCUGAUUAGAUGAAUUUCUACAAGUCAGUACUACCGAGACUAAGGAAGUCUGGCGAAUGGGCAAGAUACAAGUGGCUGUGCUUUACUCAGGCCUGGCCGAUUGAGGCUGACGAUCUCCCGCGUGCGCCUCCAUCACCCAAAGCGGGCAAUGUGUCGCCCACCUCGUUGAUUAUUUCCUAAAGAACCGCCCGUCUGGGUUUUCGUUUUAUUAUAUGCCAAUAGAGUUUUCUUAAAACCUUUGCUAAUUUAACA